GUGCUUAACACAUGCAAGUCGAACGGAAAGGCCUCUUCGGAGGUACUCGAGUGGCGAACGGGUGAGUAACACGUGGGCAAUCUGCCCUGCACUUCGGGAUAAGCCUGGGAAACUGGGUCUAAUACCGGAUAGGACCUCAAGACGCAUGUCUUCUGGUGGAAAGCUUUUGCGGUGUGGGAUGGGCCCGCGGCCUAUCAGCUUGUUGGUGGGGUGACGGCCUACCAAGGCGACGACGGGUAGCCGGCCUGAGAGGGUGUCCGGCCACACUGGGACUGAGAUACGGCCCAGACUCCUACGGGAGGCAGCAGUGGGGAAUAUUGCACAAUGGGCGCAAGCCUGAUGCAGCGACGCCGCGUGGGGGAUGACGGCCUUCGGGUUGUAAACCUCUUUCACCAUCGACGAAGGUCCGGGUUUUCUCGGAUUGACGGUAGGUGGAGAAGAAGCACCGGCCAACUACGUGCCAGCAGCCGCGGUAAUACGUAGGGUGCGAGCGUUGUCCGGAAUUACUGGGCGUAAAGAGCUCGUAGGUGGUUUGUCGCGUUGUCCGUGAAAUC
rnacentral:rRNA from 1 species